rnacentral:RNase_P_RNA from 1 species
CUAGAUGGUCGUGCAGUUGCGUAAAAAUCUAUACUAGAAUUUACGAGGAAAGUCCGGACUCUACAGAGGUAUGGUGCUGGUUAACGUCCAGCGGGAGAGUAAUCUUUUAGGGAAAGUGCCGCAGAAAAUAUACCGCCAAAUUAUAAUUUAACAUAGUUUGGUAAGGGUGAAAUGGUGUGGUAAGAGCACACCGGUAGGUUGGUAACAAGCUACGCAUGGUAAACCCCACCAAGAGCAAGAUCAAAUAGGCACUACAGAACUUACGUGUUCCUAGGCAUCUCUGGCUAGAAGUAGUGCGGGUAGAUCGCUUGAGGUAAAUGGUAACAUUUAUCCUAGAUAAAUAACUGCAAUAGAUAAUAGAAAUAUUAUCUAUACAAAAUCCGGCUUACAGACCAUCAUUUGGU